ACAGUGGUAACAGUCUGAUUGUAUGUUUAAGGGAGGAGUGAAUUUCCACAGUGAUAGUCUGAUUGACUAUGUUUAAGGGAGGAGUGUGAAUUUCCACAGAUAACAGUCUGAUUGACUGUACCUUUUAAGGAGCUGCUCACUCUCUUUCUAAAGAGGUGUGUUUAGGGUCAUAAUAUUUCACCUUGCUUUACAGAGGAGUGUCACAUAAGCCUGUCAUAUAGGUCAACAGUCUCUCUCUUCUUUGUGUCGCUCUCCCUCCCUCUCUCUCCUUUUUUAUUCUCUCCCUCCCUCUCUCUUUUAGUGAUUGUUAUGAGUAAAUGAUUAUUGAUUGCUAUGAGGAAAUGAUUCUUAACUAAAUUCCAAAGUCCAAAUGUCCUGACUGAACUUUGUGGAAAGAGGAAUCAAUGAGUGGCAGGUUGUUUUUUCCCCACAUGAGUUUUCGCCUCAUGUCCCAGGACUUACAACUCCGUUUGCAGGUUUGUGAUUCAGAUGGUCAUUGUGGAUGGAGACACGUUUGUAGAUACUAGUUCAGUAAGAAAUCCGACACAGAGAUAAAGAGCAGCCAUUUUGCAGAGGAAAAGCUUGUGUUGGAGCAUACAGUAACAUGGCCUCCAAAUCGCUGUUAGAAAUUUAUCUGUCUUGUCCUGUGUGUUGUGAAGUCUUUAAAGACCCCAUGGUGCUUGCGUGCAAUCACAGUGUGUGUAAAGCAUGUCUGCAGACACUCUGGGACAUCGGAGGGUCCAGAGAAUGCCCCGUGUGCAGGACAAAGUCCUCUGACGAUUUCCCUCCAGUAAAUCUUACGUUGAAGAAUCUCUGUGAGUUUACCAUGUGGAGGAAAUGAGAGAGCAUCAGAUCCAGCAUUAAGAGAUUCUGCACGGUGAGAAGCUCAAGCUCUUCUGUCUGGACACUCAUCAGCCCGUGUGUGUGGUGUGUCGAGACGCCAGGACACAUAGGAACCACACCUUCAGUCCCAUAGACGAAGCAGCAGGAGAGCAUAGGGGGGAACUACGGAUCAAACUGCAGACCUUACAGGAGAGACUGCAGGCUUUUGAAGAAGUUAAAAUAUUCUAUGACCAAAUAGUAACUCACAUUAAGACUCAGGUCCAACACACAGAGAAGCAGAUCAAGGAGGAGUUUGAGAAGCUUCACCAGUUUCUACGAGAUGAAGAGGCAGCCAGGAUAGCUGCACUGAGGGUGGAAGAGGAGCAGAAGAGUCAUAAGAUGAAGAAAAAGAUUGUGAGGAUGAUGAAAGAAAUUUCAUCUAAUUCAGAUGCAAUUAGAACUAUAGAAGAGAAGUUGGGAGCUGAUGAUAUCACAUUCUUGCAGAACUACAAGAGCACAGUGGAAAGAGCCCAGUGCACACUGCAGGAUCCAGAGAGGGUUUCAGGAGCUCUGAUCAAUGUGGCAAAGCACUUGGGCACUUGGGCAACCUGAAGUUCAGAGUCUGGG